UUGGGGGUAGCUCAGUGGGCAGAGCAUGAGACUCUUAAUCAUAGGGACGCUGGUACGAGCCCCACAUUGGGCAAAA